CCCUUAGAUGUUCUGGGCUGCACGCGCGCUACACUGAAGCGUUCAACGAGUAUUCACCUUGCCCGGGAGGGUUGGGUAAUCUUUUGAAAACGCUUCGUGAUGGGGAUAGAUUAUUGCAAUUAUUAAUCUUCAACGAGGAAUUCCUAGUAAGCGCGAGUCAUCAGCUCGUGCUGAUUACGUCCCUGCCCUUUGUACACACCGCCCGUCGCUCCUACCGAUUGGAUGGUCCGGUGAAGCCUCGGGAUUGUGGUUCUUGCCGCUUUAUUGUGGCGUGACCGCGAGAACUUGUCUAAACCUUAUCAUCUAGAGGAAGGUGAAGUCGUAACA
rnacentral:rRNA from 1 species